rnacentral:lncRNA from 1 species
AGCCAUAGGGUCUCUCUCCUGUAUGAGUCCUUUGAUGGACAAUGAGCUUUUGCUUUGUGCUAAAGGCUUUCCCACAUUCACUACAUUCAAAGGGUUUCUCUCCUGUGUGAAUUCUUUGAUGUUUAAUGAGACCUGAUUUCUGAGAACAGGAUUUUCCACAUUCACUGCACACAAAGGGCGUCUUUCCUGUGUGAAAUCUCUGAUGUGCUAUGAGACACGUCUUCUGAAUGAAGCCUUUUCCACAUUCAUUGCAUAUAUAAGGUUUCUCGCCUGUAUGAAUUCGCUGGUGUACAAUGAGAUUUCCUUUCUGGAUGAAGCCUUUUCCACAUUCACUGCAUAUAUAGGGUUUCUCUCCGGUAUGUGUUUUCUGAUGUAUGUUGAGCCGUGAUUUCUUGAGAAAGGCUUUGCCACAUUCAGGGCAUUCAUAAGGUUUUUCUCCUGUAUGAGUUCGCUGAUGUUCAGUGAGCAUGAACUUUCUGGAGAAGGCUUUCUCACAUAGACUACAUCUGUGGGGUUUCUCUCCUGUAUGCAUUACCUGGUGAUCAGUUAGCCAAGACUUCUUGAUGAAGGCUUUCCCACAUUCACUGCACACAUGAUGCUUCUCUAAUUUUCGUGUUUUCUGAUGCUUGGGACUGAUGAAUUGGGACUUAGUGCUGAUGAGUUUUUGACUUGCAGGGAAUUUAAUUGCAGUAUGAAGUCGUUCAUGGUUAGCAUGAAGAAAGGAGUCCCCAUUUCCAGUAAACUCAACAGAGUUCUUUAUUUCAUAGCCUUUGCUCUGGUUAACUAAAGUUAAAUUGGAUUUCAAACUUUUUCCAUGUAAGUCAAAUAUAUCAUGAUUUUGCCCUAACAGAAAUUGACUUUUGCUGCAAUGAACAAUAUUUUCAAAUGCAUCAUGUUCAUGACAUGGUUUCCUUCUGUUCACCAGGCUUUCACUCUGCAAGCGCUCCAGCACAUGAUCAACUUUCCAUAUGUCUAGAAAGAAAAGAACAAAGAUUUCUAUCAUUUAGAUUUGGGGUAAAAGUUUGUUGUGUUUUUUUUUUGUUUGUUUGUUUUUUAAGAUGGGUCUAUGGUUUCCGUGGCAGCUACUCAACUCUACUGUUGUAGCUCAAAAAUGCCCAUAUACAAAAAAAUAGACAAAUGAUUAU